rnacentral:rRNA from 1 species
CAAUAGCGUAUAUUAAAGUUGUUGCGGUUAAAAAGCUCGUAGUUGGACUUCGCCGGAAGGAAGACGGUCCCCCCUAGUGGGGUGUAUCUGUUGAUCCCUCUGGCUCCGGGUGUUUAAGGUGCGUCGCUUCAUUGCGAUGUCCGUAGGCACCCCUUUUACUUUGAGGAAAUUAGAGUGUUCACGGCAGGCAAUCGCCCUGAAUACGUUAGCAUGGAAUAAUAAUAUAAGGCUUCGGCCCUAUUAUUGGUUUCUAGAGCUGAAGUAAUGAUUAAUAGGGAUAGUUGGGGGCAUUCGUAUUAUCACGUCAGAGGUGGAAAUUCUUGGAUUUAUGUAAGACGAACUACUGCGAAAGCAUUUGCCAAGGAUGUUUUUCAUUUAAGUACUACAAACGGAAAACGUAAAGGGGGUAACGGGGUACGUAACGGAAACGGAACGUUAAGUACUAACCGGUACUUACCGGUACGUACGUAGGACCCUAAGGGCCC